AAUCCGUUUCGGAGAACACUGUGGUGUCUUUGCCAUUGAUGAUAAAUGCAAACCAUUUUAAUGUCGAGGGUCGCUACGCUUGUCCCAUUUGACACUCCGUAGUUUAUGCAGUGUCUCGGAUGUAGAGUGGAGGGUAGUUUGAAAGAAGAAAGGCUGGAAGUUUUGCGGGAAUUUGCAGACGCAGUUGAUUACGGUGGUGCAGAAACUGUAGCAAUGUACUAACAGCCUGCCUAUAACCCCCCCUGUGCUGGUAAGGUAGUUGUUUACAAGCUUAUAUUCGUACGACGAUUAAUUUAGGAACUUAAUUAACAGAUAGCUUUUGGCAGCGGGCUUUGCCUUAAGCUAGCUGACAUUAUUUAACUGACGUCGAGCGAGGUGACCUGCCCGCCGUAUGUAAAAGCAACACAUUUAGCGUUUAGUUAUUCACCUAGAUAACUUACUAUUUAGUUUGUCUAGCGAACUAACUGCAGUAAGACUCGAAAAGGCAAGUUGAUAAAGCCAACGUUACGCCAUUAGGUCGGUGUUUGUUGGAAUUUGCCUGUAAUGUAAACUUGUUACCCACCUAACCUACGUUAGCCAAAUUCGGCCUGUCUAAAGCUAACGCUACCUUAUGUUUUUAUUUUAUAUUAUGUGCAACAUGGCCAAAUUGGUGUGACUCAUGUCUUAUGUGCAGCUUGUAUGUUUUUGAGUCGGCAACAAUGGUGGCUUUUGAACUGUAGCUCACAGCAAGGGGAUCCUUUUAACAGCUUGGUAAAAACCAGACUGUCUGCUGCUAUACGACACUGAAGGUGCUUCUGAAACACGGUGGCUCACAUUAACGUGACCUCAUACUACCCUGUAGUCCUCACUCAGUUGAUUUGGGCUGUGCCUUGCUGUUCCUGUGCGUGACACGUAAUGUUUGUUUCAGUUUAGCGCAGUUAAUGGAGUAAGAAACUGGGUUACAAGCAUAGACAUAUAUUUAUAUAUAUAUUUAUAUGUCUAUGGGUACAAGUGCGGCGAUGAAGAGGUCUGCGCGCGUGCACGAGCUGCUGGGCAGCCUGCCCUCCGGCGCGCGCCCUCUGGAAGGAAAGUCAGUGUAUAUGCACGCGGUGAAGAGGCGUCAUUCCGCAGUCCUUACGGACGUCAUCACGCAGCUGGGAGGGAGUGUUGAAGCGUUCUUGAACAGAGAUGUCUGGUGUUUGGUGACGGGGCGUAGAGAGGGACAGAAGGACCCGCCCCCUGUGUCAGCGAUGGGUGGAACCAAGCCAUCGAUGGGCGGAGCCAAGUCCUCGGUGGGUGGAGCCAAGCCGUGA
rnacentral:lncRNA from 1 species